rnacentral:lncRNA from 1 species
UCUAUAACCUUACUUAACAAUAAAUUCUAUUUUAAUUUAAAAAUUAGAAUAUAAUAAAAUUAUGCUAAUGAGAAAAUAAGCAUGGCAUAAAGAAAUAGAUAAUACGAAAAAAUUACAUAGAAUCACGUAAAGUAAGAUUGAGAAUAAGAAGAAAAUGAAAUAUAAUAAUAAAAAAUAAAAAAUAAACUUUUACAAAUUUUUUGAAUAAUAAAAUUAAAAAAAGAACUUAAAAUAAUAGAAGUAAAAAAAAUUAAAAUAUAAAUAAAAAAAAUAAAAUUAAAAAGUAAUCAGGUG